rnacentral:lncRNA from 1 species
UUUUUUUCUCAUAUGUUGUUUAAAAAUGUUUAAAAUUAUUAAUUACAUGACAUUAAUUUCCACAACAUUUUCCCUAGCUGUUUGUAAUGUAGCCCAAAUAAAAAUAUCAAAACAAAAAGACCAGGUCACUUGACUUAAAUAUCGAUUUAAUAUUUUGAAGUACUAUUUAAAAAGUCGAUCGUUCCGGAUGUAGGAUAAAACUAUUAACUAAAUGUUGUUUAGAUGCAC